UGAACUAUUGUAGUAGCCUCCU
rnacentral:miRNA from 1 species